GGGGAUGUAACUCAGUGGUAGAAUGCAGAGAAGCCCUAGGUUCAAUCCCCAGCAUCCCCG
rnacentral:tRNA from 1 species